AGAACGAACGCUGGCGGCACGCCUAACACAUGCAAGUCGAGCGCCCAGCAAUGGGAGCGGCGGACGGGUGAGUAACACGUGGGAAUAUGCCUUUCGGUACGGAACAACUCAGGGAAACUUGAGCUAAUGCCGUAUACGCCCUUACGGGGAAAGAUUUAUCGCCGAAAGAUUAGCCCGCGUCUGAUUAGCUAGUUGGUGAGGUAAUGGCUCACCAAGGCUUCGAUCAGUAGCUGGUUUGAGAGAACGACCAGCCACACUGGGACUGAGACACGGCCCAGACUCCUACGGGAGGCAGCAGUGGGGAAUCUUGGACAAUGGGGGAAACCCUGAUCCAGCCAUGCCGCGUGAGUGAUGAAGGCCUUCGGGUUGUAAAACUCUUUCGACGGGACGAUAAUGACGGUACCCGUAGAAGAAGCUCCGGCUAACUUCGUGCCAGCAGCCGC
rnacentral:rRNA from 1 species